ACGCUGGCGGCAGGCCUAACACAUGCAAGUCGAGCGGUAGCACAGGAGAGCUUGCUCUCUGGGUGACGAGCGGCGGACAGGUGAGUAUGUCUGGGAAACUGCCUGAUGGAGGGGGAUAACUACUGGAAACGGUAGCUAAUACCGCAUGACCUCGCAAGAGCAAAGUGGGGGACCUUCGGGCCUCACGCCAUCGGAUGUGCCCAGAUGGGAUUAGCUAGUAGGUGGGGUAAUGGCUCACCUAGGCGACGAUCCCUAGCUGGUCUGAGAGGAUGACCAGCCACACUGGAACUGAGACACGGUCCAGACUCCUACGGGAGGCAGCAGUGGGGAAUAUUGCACAAUGGGCGCAAGCCUGAUGCAGCCAUGCCGCGUGUGUGAAGAAGGCCUUAGGGUUGUAAAGCACUUUCAGCGAGGAGGAAGGCGUUGCAGUUAAUAGCUGCAGCGAUUGACGUUACUCGCAGAAGAAGCACCGGCUAACUCCGUGCCAGCAGCCGCGGUAAUACGGAGGGUGCAAGCGUUAAUCGGAAUUACUGGGCGUAAAGCGCACGCAGGCGGUUUGUUAAGUCAGAUGUGAAAUCCCCGAGCUUAACUUGGGAACUGCAUUUGAAACUGGCAAGCUAGAGUCUUGUAGAGGGGGGUAGAAUUCCAGGUGUAGCGGUGAAAUGCGUAGAGAUCUGGAGGAAUACCGGUGGCGAAGGCGGCCCCCUGGACAAAGACUGACGCUCAGGUGCGAAAGCGUGGGGAGCAAAC
rnacentral:rRNA from 1 species